UACGUAGGGUGCGAGCGUUAAUCGGAAUUACUGGGCGUAAAGGGUGUGUAGGCGGUUGUUUAAGUUUGGUGUGAAAUCUCCCGGCUCAACUGGGAGGGUGCGCCGAAUACUGAAUGACUUCGAGUGCGGGAGAGGUGAGUGGAAUUCCUGGUGCAGCGGUGAAAUGCGCAGAUAUCGGGAGGAACACCAAUGGCGAAGGCAGCUCGCUGGGACGUUACUGACGCUGAGACGCGAAAGCGUGGGGAGCAAACAGG
rnacentral:rRNA from 1 species